GACGAACGCUGGCGGCGUGCUUAACGCAUGCAAGUCGAACGGAAAGGCCCUGCUUUUGUGGGGUGCUCGAGUGGCGAACGGGUGAGUAACACGUGAGUAACCUGCCCUUGACUUUGGGAUAACUUCAGGAAACUGGGGCUAAUACCGGAUAGGAGCUCCUGCUGCAUGGUGGGGGUUGGAAAGUUUCGGCGGUUGGGGAUGGACUCGCGGCUUAUCAGCUUGUUGGUGGGGUAGUGGCUUACCAAGGCUUUGACGGGUAGCCGGCCUGAGAGGGUGACCGGCCACAUUGGGACUGAGAUACGGCCCAGACUCCUACGGGAGGCAGCAGUGGGGAAUAUUGCACAAUGGGCGGAAGCCUGAUGCAGCAACGCCACGUGCGGGAUGACGGCCUUCGGGUUGUAAACCGCUUUCGCCUGUGACGAAGCGUGAGUGACGGUAAUGGGUAAAGAAGCACCGGCUAACUACGUG
rnacentral:rRNA from 1 species